UACCCGCGGCCCGAGUGGUGGUCGAUUUUAUUGAGCCUAAAACGUCCGUAGCCGGCCUGGUAAAUCCUUGGGUAAAUCGGGCAGCUUAACUGUCCGAAGUCCGGGGAGACUGCCAGGCUUGGGACCGGGAGAGGUCAGAGGUACUUCCGGGGUAGGGGUAAAAUCCUGUAAUCCUGGAAGGACCACCGGUGGCGAAGGCGUCUGACUAGAACGGAUCCGACGGUGAGGGACGAAGCCCUGGGGCGCAAACGGG
rnacentral:rRNA from 1 species